AAUUGUUCACAAUGGGCGCAAGCCUGAUGACGCAACGCCGCGUGGAGGACGAAGGUCUUCGGAUCGUAAACUCCUGUCAGGCGGGACGAAGGUUUCAGGGCAAAUAGUCCUGGAGCUUGACGGUACUGCCAGAGGAAGCCCCGGCUAACUCCGUGCCAGCAGCCGCGGUAAUACGGAGGGGGCUAGCGUUGUUCGGAAUUACUGGGCGUAAAGCGCGCGUAGGCGGACCUGCAAGUCGGGGGUGAAAGCCCGAGGCUCAACCUCGGAACUGCCUUCGAUACUGCGGGUCUCGAGUCCGGGAGAGGUGAGUGGAAUUCCUAGUGUAGAGGUGAAAUUCGUAGAUAUUAGGAAGAACACCAGUGGCGAAGGCGGCUCACUGGCCCGGUACUGACGCUGAGGCGCGAAAGCGUGGGGAGCAAAC
rnacentral:rRNA from 1 species